UACGUAGGGUGCAAGCGUUAAUCGGAAUUACUGGGCGUAAAGCGUGCGCAGGCGGUUAUGUAAGACAGGUGUGAAAUCCCCGGGCUUAACCUGGGAACUGCAUUUGUGACUGCAUAGCUAGAGUACGGUAGAGGGGGGUGGAAUUCCGCGUGUAGCAGUGAAAUGCGUAGAUAUGCGGAGGAACACCGAUGGCGAAGGCAAUCCCCUGGACCUGUACUGACGCUCAUGCACGAAAGCGUGGGGAGCAAACAGG
rnacentral:rRNA from 1 species